rnacentral:rRNA from 1 species
AUUGAACGCUGGCGGCAGGCCUAACACAUGCAAGUCGAGCGAGCGGCGGACGGGUGAGUAAUGUUUGGGAAACUGCCUGAUGGAGGGGGAUAACCACUGGAAACGGUAGCUAAUACCGCAUACCAUCAGAUGUGUCCAGAUGGGAUUAGCUCGUAGGUGGGGUAACGGCUCACCUAGGCGACGAUCCCUAGCUGGUCUGAGAGUAUGACCAGCCACAGUGGAACUGAUACAAGGUCCAGACUCCGACGGGAGGCAGCAGUGGGGAAUAUUGCACAAUGGGCGCAAGCCUGAUGCAGCCAUGCAGCGUGUAUGAAGAAGGCCUUCGGGUUGUAAAGCACUUUCAGCGGGGAGGCGUUACCCGCAGAAGAAGCACCGGCUAACUCCGUGCCAGCAGCCGCGGUAAUAC